rnacentral:rRNA from 1 species
ACGCUCGACACCUACGGAGGCAGCAGUGGGGAAUAUUGCACAAUGGGGGAAACCCUGAUGCAGCGACGCCGCGUGAGCGAAGAAGUAUUUCGGUAUGUAAAGCUCUAUCAGCAGGGAAGAUCAUGACGGUACCUGACUAAGAAGCUCCGGCUAAAUACGUGUCAGCAGCCGCGGUAAUCUGAGCGGGCUGGCAAGGC